CUUGCAUUAUCAAAAAGGAUUACUACAUAACCGUAUAUAAAAUUCAAGCCAAAAAUUAACACUAAUAUUUUAAAACAGGAAGUUGGAAGGACACUUGUCCUCUUCCUGUUUUUCCUGCUUUAAAAAUAUUUCUGCUUUUUCUUUUUUUUAAAAAAAGAACAUUUUUUUCCAUUUUUUUAAUACUUUUUUUUUUUACAAAAAAUUCUCAAUCAAACGUUGUUUCUAAUUUCUAUCCUCUUUUUCCUUCUAUCCCAAUUCCCAAAUGAUGUAUCUGUUCGGUUUCAAAAAAAAAAAAAAAAAUACGAUGUAUUUGUUCUUAUCAGUUUGUAAUCCCCAAACUACGCUAUUAUCCUCUAAUUCCUCCCUUAAAUAUUCAUAGAUAAAUUGAUUCCAAAUUCUUCACUACUACUUUAUCAAUCAUCUUUUUCUCUCCUCACAAUUUAAUCUGAUUUUUCAAGGGAAAUGAUAAAUGGAUUUAAUUGAUUGAAUGUUGGUGGUGUUGAGGCGACAAUUCUUCAAUUAAUUGGUGAAAUUCAUUAUUCAACAACUGAACAAUAUAUUGGAUGGUAGCUACAUCAAAGAUUAUUUAUAUGAUUAGUUAUGUACAAAUGAUUGUA